rnacentral:lncRNA from 10 species
GAGAGUUUACUAUUUUGUUUUUAUUUUUUUGAAACAGGGUCUCAAAUGUUGCCCAGAUUGGUCUCAAACUCCUAGGCUCAAGCAAUCCUCAUGUCUCAGCCACCCAAAGCACUGAGAUUACAGGUGUGAGCCACAGCGCCUGGCAAAAGAGUCUGGAACAGAGUGAUGCAACACACUGAAACAGGGUCACAUUCUGGCUGACAUGUUGAGAACAGACUGAAGGAGAGCAGACAACAAGCAAGGAGACUAGUAUACAAGGAGUUUCAACAAUUCUACUUCAUCUGAUGCCUAUACUUUAGACAACUCAUGAGGCAAACUGUUAGAGCCACUGCCAGUUGCUCAAGCUAAUACACUGACUCCAGAAUCUCUGGCCAGGCGCGGCAGCUGACGUCUAUAAUCGCAGCACUUUGGGAGGCCAAGGCAGGUGGAUCACCAGAGGUCAGGAGUUCAGCACCAGCCUGGCCAACAUGGUGAAACCCCAUCUCUACUAAAAAUAUAAAAAAUUAGCUGGGUGUGGUGGCGGGCACCUGUAAUCCCAGCUACCUGCGA